rfam:Oryza sativa Japonica Group DNA, chromosome 6, cultivar: Nipponbare, complete sequence.
AAUAAGUGUAAUUUUACAUUGUUUAUGUCCAACUUUUGACAUUUUUCUUAUUUGAAAACUUUUUAUUAUUAAUAUUUUUAUUGUUAUUAAAUGUAAAAGAUGAAUAGUGCUUUAUGUGUGACUAUUUUUUUAAUUUUUUUUUAUAAAUUUUUCAAAUAAGACGGACGGUCAAACGUUGGACACGGAUACCUAUGGCUGCACUUAUU